GGAAAAGGCUGUUUGAAUGGGGAAAACCACUAGAGCUUCUCUGGGCCCAGAUCCUGCAGGCUCUUGUUGAGCCACAAGGAGUUUAGGUCCCUCUUCACAGCACAGAGAGCCACCGGUGAGGCCUUUCAGCAAGGAGCCACUUGAUCAUGGUGCUUCCUGAAGUCUGCUAGAACCUCAGCGUGCCAGCCCUGGAGGUCAGAGAGGACACAGCAGGGACCAGAGAGGUGUCGGGGUGCCGGAAAACUCUGUUCACGCUGGAACAACACUGGUUUCUGUGCCACUGGGCGUAAGCAGAGCAGAGGUGAGAUCCUAUCUCCACACCUGAGAGCAGCCAUCCAGGAGAGGAACUAGCCAAGAACGGGAGGAAUGACCAUCUCAUAAGGGGAUGUCCAGGGUUCAGGCUCAGGAGACAAGGAAGGGGUCAGAUAUGCAGAUUGUCUCCAUUCUGCCGUUAGCACCUGCUUGCUGGCAUUUGAAUUUUUACAUUCUGUAAUCCUUCAUCCAGCUAUUAAAAUUGAUAAGUCCUUCAUACUGUACCAUACUUAAGGGGGUGGAGGAUGGGCCAUAAGCCACAGGUAGAACAUCUAGCACAGAAGCCAAAAGGGCUGGCAUGCUAUGGCCCAGAUUGGGCCUUGUCUUAGUCUUCUUUUCCCCUGCCUCACCUCCAUCCUUUUUUCAUGUUGCUUUAACAAAACACCUGAGACUGGGAAAGUUAUAAACCACAGAAGCUUAUUGGCUCAUAGCUCUGGUGGAGAGAGCUGCAAGGAGUUUGGAAAGAAGGUCUUGCCUGCUGCUGGCAACAAUCCAAGGUCCUCAUUUCUUCCCACUCCGGCACCAGCUUGCCAAGUUAGCCCCCAGGUCUCUUUCUCCUGCAAACACGGCCCUGGUCUAGACAGAAGAACUGUAUCAGCCAAUUACCAGCCCCUGGAAAAGAGCCUCAGCCCGACAUGUGGGGACGAAGCCAAGAGUCGUAGUCUGGCCCCUAGACAGAACAGCACAGCCACGCAUCCCUUCCACUCUCUGUGUGGAGCAGUCCCACGAAAACAAACUGUGAGGACUGAGGUGGGAGCAGGGAGUUCCUCAAGGAAAAUGGAGUGAUUUGUCCAAGAAGCAAGCUCAGCUAACAUACAAGAAACUCCUGUGAUGUCCGCCUGCACCCAAGCCCACCAUCCAACUCCACACCACCGUGAUUGCACCUGCCCUGAACUUCAGUCUCCCCACCUUGGGCAUCUUCCAGGGAGCCCUGAAUGAUUUCAACUUUAAAAGAGAACAGAGCUUCAUUGGAGAGACGGUUUGGAGGGCAAAGGUGCUUUCUGCACAGUGUGACCACCUGACUGUGGUCCUCAAAACCCCCAGAGAGAUGGAAGUAGGGAACUGACUCCAUAAAAUUGUCCUCUGACCUCCACAUACUCACUGUGGCACACAUGUGCCCACUCACCCACACAUAUCAGACACUCACAUAAGCACAAACACACAUGAAGCAUUAAAAUUAAUAAUAAUAAUAAUAAAUACCUCCAUGCCACUCACUUCCAGCCCAUAAAAUCCAAGGUAGAAGAAACUCAAUAGCUUCUUGCUCUGAGCCUAUUAUAACUCACCUGCUCAAGUCUCCUUCCCAUCACUCAGUUGACAAGCAUCCCAGCGAGGCAAUACCGUGUGCUGCUCUUCCAGCACAGCUUCGAGUCUCUCUCCCUGGAGGGCUUCUUUAGCCAGAGUUGCUCCAUUUGCUGGGAGUGCUCACCUCUCACUGUCUACUCCCCAUACCAGAACCCAGCUCGGCACACUGACUACUUCCUCAGGAGCACUCCAUGCCACUGUGGCCAUACCGACCACAUCUCAGUCCAGCUGGUCCCACGGCUGAUGACACUAGCCCAUGAUGCAGCUCAUCUGAGAAUGUGAGCUCCUAGACUGAGAACUCCCCAAUCAAAGCAACUUUGGUUGUUGGGCUCCUGUGUUCUGGGUACUGCUGUGGAACUCGUUCAGUCUCAUGACAGCCCUUAAGCCAUCCCUUUAUCUGGCUUUCAUUAGAGCCUGGGCCGCGCCUCUUUUGUGGGAGAGACUUGAGGGAGCCGAGGCAGUUUCCCGCCGCUGUGAUGUUGCUAAAGAUUAAAAAGGAGCUUUGAAGCUGCACCAGCGCUGCCUGCGCCCCCUCGGAACAGGACCUCAGAAAGACCCGCGCCAUCUGGCAAACCUGACAUAAAGACAAAAUAAAGUGAUUGAAACAGUCUCUUCAAAGCCACAAUGGCAGAUUUGUUGAUUUGGGCGUUAUCUUUCAUGCGAGGCCCUCAGAAGUCACCAGAACACCUAGAUAACCUCAGGCAGGCCUGACUGGAGUGGAUAGAGCCUUCCAGGCUGAAGCUUGCCGAGAGAGAGGACUGGCUGGAACUGGUGGGGGCUGAGAGACGGACUGAUGGCCACCGGAGGUGGCUUUGGGUCACUCAACAAUUGAAUGUAGAGGGUUCAAUCACUGGGACUCUGCCUCACCUGUGUGUUCCCGUGUUCCCUCAGGAAGAGCACCGGAUGCUGGUGGAAGUAGAGCCCCCGUGGGAAGCUGAUACGGGGAUGCAUGUGGAGAGGGCAAGAGAUGGAAAGGCCUUACCCUGGUUGCAGCUGACAGCCUGUUAGUGGUGCCAUGACACUGUUGUCAGUGACAAUCCUGGCUGGGCAGGUGCUUCCAGGCUAGGUCCCACCAGACAAUCUCAGCCAACUGAGCCCAGCAAGUUACUACUGACCUCUAAUAACACCCACCAUGGCUGGAAUUUGGCUCACUGUGUGCGUGAGCCUGGGCUCCUUCAUUGGAGAAACUGCUGUCAUGAUCGGACCCUUACAUUCUGUUAGGUGGCAGUGUUGAGCCUACAGCUCCCAGUCUUGAACCAAGAAUGUUCUGUUGAGCUAAUGGGGUGGCUUAUACCUGUGAGCCCAGUGCUUCAGGGGUGGAGUUAGAAGAAUCAAUGGUUCAAGGUCCCUCCCAACUACACAGCAAUCUUGGACUACAAAAGACCGGCUCUCAAAAAAAAAAACAAAAAACAAAAAACAAAAAACAACAACAACAACAAAAAGCAAAUGAACAAACUGCCUUGGACAGCAGUCUGGAGAGGGCAACACAAACACCAACUGAAUAGACUGAGCUUCAGCCCAAGGGCUUAGGGUGACACCCCACAUCCCCACCACCCAUGCAACUUCUCCUAGUAAGAAGAUGCACGGGCUGGAAUGGGAAGAAAAGAAUGGUAAGGGGGCUCAGCAAGCACUAUUAAGGGGCUCAAGUGGAGUGUGGGGAGCAGAACAGCUGGCCCUCCAUUCCCGCCACCUGACCACCGUGACUAGUUCAGCUUCGUCUCCACACAAGGCACCCAAUUCAACCCCUGCCUUUAUUUUAAGGCCUUGCUAACCAAACGCGUGCACAACUUAGAAGGUAGGAUGGCUGGAGGCCUCCAACCCUUCCUCCUAAUCCCCUUAAACCCGGGGUUCCAAUCGGGCUGACGAACCGGAUAAGAAAUGAAUUGCAGUCUGCCGCGUUUCGGCAAAAUUGCCAAUUCGUGAAAUUUGACCACUGCUCCACCUCCAAGGAUCUACUGAAGCCCUACUGUGCACAUCCACACAAACAAAAGUGAUGCCAAGCUGUCCUCAAAUUCCAGGCACAGAAAAGACACCCAGAGUUCAUCAGCGGGAGGCGUGACAAGCCACUUCUGCUUUCAGGGCAGGGGCAAGGGUCCUAUCACACACAUGGGCCCUCCAGACAACUUGCCUGCCCCGGACAAAUGUACUGCCAGUAUCAGCCCUCCCCACUGCCUUGUCUAUUUCAGAGGAAGCGCUCAUCCCAGGUGGCCCACACCACCCUUCCUUCCUCUCAGAACACAGCUGGCUUGGCAUGGGGUGUCGGGAGGGGCUCACAACAGAUUUCCUGGCCUGAGAUUAGGGUUCUAUCUGUUUCCUCCCAGAGUGAGAGGAGAGUCUUCUCCCCUGAGGGGGCUGCAGGGCUGAGUGCACAGGCAGAGGCGGCUCCCAGCCCACCAGUUCCUGCGGGGAACCUUCCAACUCUGUCAUUCACCCUCCUUUACUGGUUUCCACACCUUCAUUGUCUGAUAGACUUCUAGUCAUCCUUUAAAACCCAUCACUGAUGAUUCUCCUCUGAAGCCCUUCUGAACCUCCGUUGCCCGUGGCUCACAUGUCACAUCUCCAUCUCUCUUGGGUGCCUCUGAAAUAAAGACUAUAAUAUCUUGUUCAGAAAAAGUAUGCAUGCCUGAAGUCAUAAAGGCUUAGACCAGAUGCCAGCUUCCCUAUCCAUCAGCUGUGACAUUUGGGCAGGUCACUUUGCCCCUCUGAUCCUCAUUUGUGAGUGGAAAAAAAAAUGUAUCCUCCCGGCUUGUUUUGGAGAUUCAGUAAGGUAAUGUGGGUCAGGGGGAUGACACAGUGGGCAAAGACCUCGCAGAGGACCUGGGAUCAGU